UUUACCAAGAAAUUCCUCAAGAACAUCUUGAUUUAAUGGACCCUAAUUGCUAUGAAAUAAAAUGCAGAGAAUAUGUUGCAAAGAUUAGAGAGUUGAAUGAACUAGAGCAGUAUAGAGAAGAAACCAAUUUGGACAAAGAUGCAGUUGCCACGGUGCUUGGAAAAGAUGGUAGAGGCUUUGUACGAGGAAUGGGAGGUGGGAUAUCAAAGACUGAACUUCUUGCUUCUGCAGUUCCUAGGGAGCAGUUACGU